CCGUGUGCUGUUGACUUUUGCAGCUCUGUACGAUUAUGGGAAACAAGGAUAAUAUUUGCCCUCAGAGCCAGGAAAGAACAAAUAUUUUAUCAACAUCUAAAUCAUCUUUCAUCUAGCAGGGGAGGAGGCGCUGAAGGCCCAGCUGCACACACAAGAGAAGAUUUCUCUUGGGAAAGAAAAGAACAUUCAUCAGCAAACCAAAAGGCAGCCAACAAGAAUGGAAGUCUUGUCACCGAUGCUGUUAAGGAACACGCUGCCCUCUGACUAAUAAGUAUCUCCAAGGUGUUCAGCUACUCUUGGCCUUGUGAAAGAUCCAGAGAAUGUUAAAAGUGUGACUGUCAUCUGUGCGUGGUUCACAAUGCACUUUCCUAAGACAAGCAUAUGUAAUGCAAGAACAAUAACUCAGCAAGAACAGGGUCAAGGAGCUGGUCGGGAAGGCUUCUUGGAGGAGGCAGAGCCUGAGUUGUGUGGUAGGUUAAGUAGGCUUUGGAUAGGUGCUGAGUAGAGGGCAGGCUGUGGAGUUCUAUUCCUGCCACACUUCAUGUUUUAUCCUAAUAAUAAAAACAUUUAAUUGAAGAAAAAUGGAGACUAAAAAUAUGACAAAAAUAAAAUCAUCUGCAAUUGCAG